ACUCCGGCUGAGGCGAAAGUGGAGGCUGGAUGUGAGCGUAGUCCAGUGCCCAUCCCCAGGCGGCCACAGCUCGUUCUCUGGAGCCGCAGCCUUGAGUCCUGCUCAAGACCAGACCGUGCUCCCCAGAACCCUAAGCUGCCCCUCAGGAUUCAGCCUGCUGUUUCCCCUGAGGUGCAAAAUUUUGUAGAGACGUGUUCAAGAUGUUAACUCUUUUCUAUAAUAGCGAAGCGUCUCCUUUUACCCAACACUUUUUUUUUUUUUUUUUUGGUACCGGGGUUCGAACUCGGGUUCUUGUGCUUGCGAGGCAGGCAGCAGAACCACUGAGCUAAAUCCCCAGCCCUGCCCAGCACUGUUUUGACAAAUGUGAGACACCAAGAGGAGAAAUUAUUUUCUAAGGCAAGUUGGAACCAACUCAGGACUCUUCUGGGGGAAAUAGAAAAUACUUUCCGAAUGUUGACCUAUUGGAUCCUCCCUGUGUGCUAGCCUUGCAAAUUUCCUGAACCAGUUUCUCUCCCAUAUGCAACAGUAAAGCUUAACCAACUUAUUCUACUUUGGAAAAUAUUAUUGGUACAAAUCACUUUUACAGACUCUGUGUGGCAUAUAGUUCUGGAACAAAAUGAUCAUGUCAUACAGUGUUGGAAGAAUGCUUAACCUGUGCCACCUGUAAUCCCAGCACUCAGGAGGCUGAGGCAGGAGGAGUGCUGUGAGUUCAAGCUUUCUAGGAGCAGACAAAGCCAUGCUGGCAGCCAGGGUGAAGGCCUUGCCUAGAAGUGAAUACAGACUACAGUUUUCCCUUGGUGUCCAUGAGGGAUCAGUUCCAGAACUCCCUGUGGAUUCCAGAAUCUGAAGGCACUCAAAGUCCCUUAUAUAAAACAGUGAAAUUGAACUCAGCACCUUCACAGAAUUUAAUUGCCCAGGCUAUGCUGGGCAUGGUGGCACACACCUACAAUUCCAGAAUUCAGGAGGCUGCAACAGGAAGAUCAGCAUGAGUCUGAAAUUCAAGGCCAGCCUGAAUUACAAAGCAAGACUCUGUUGAAAAAAAAAAAUUGCCCAGGCUAGCCUCGUGUGGACAUGCACACCUAUAAUUUCAGCACUUGGGAGACUGAAGAGGAGGUUCCCUGUGAAUUCGAAGAGGCCAACCUAGUCUAUAAAGUGAGACCCUGUCUCAAACAACUACAACAGCAACAACAACAACAACAACAACAACAAAUAUGAUGAUGAUAAACUGAAGGAAAAAAGCUGAAGGCAGGAGAACAGCAAAGAACUGUCCAUGUAAUCUUGGCUCUCAGGCUGCAGGCCUAUGUAGUCCAACAAUCUGUAAGUUUCAGGCCACCUCCUCUGGGAGGUCUAUUUGAGGCCCUAGAUCCUGCCCUGCCCUGGGUCUAUGACCUCUCCUGUCCCAGCAGUGCUCACUUUUGCAAAUAUCAGUGACCAAGCCUGCCUUUUAUCCCCAUCCCUGAGGAGAUACUCCCUCAGGGUGUCCUGAGGCAGGAAGCUGGGCACCGUGGGGGUGCUCAGGGGGUAACUCUGAAAGGCUUCCAGCUGCUAGGCACAUCAGGGCUCAGUCCAAGACCUCCUGAACUCAGGGAAGAUAAGUGUGGGCACAAGAGCAGAAGCACCCACUGUGGCAGACACCUUAGAGUAAGCUUUGAAUUCUCAGUCCCUCCUUCCUAUACCCUAGGAAAGUGCUACAACCAUCUCCCUAUUUUCAGAUGAGGAAGCAGAGAGGCUCAGACAGCAGUGCACUGGGCUGAGGUCCAGACUUUCUCUUAGGGAGAUAAUGGAAUCUGAGUCAGGAUCUGUAACCUGAGACCCUUUCUCACAGACAGACUCGAUUAACCACUACCAAGCCAGUAAAGCCAGUUAAGAGUCCCAAGGCUGAACACUUACAUGUCUUUCCAUGAGAGAGGGGCAAGGAGUUGAGAAGCAGGGAAGAAGUAGGACAUAAAGGAUUAAAAGGGUAAAGGAAGGAGGGCAAGAGUGCCAUAGACUGAAUCCCAUUACAGGACAGAGGUGCAGAGUGAGGAGGGAGGCUUUCGGGGAGAGUCUGGGUUGGUUCAUGCAGGGAGUAGCAAGGUCCAGCAGGGGGAGGGGGUCGAGCCCCAGUGCUAGGUCUCCUCUCCCAAGGAGGUGACACCCAAACGACACAAGGCAAUGGUAGUCCAGGGUGCCUUGCCUCAGCACCAUGAAAACAACAAAGACACCUGCAAGUCAGCAUCAGGGAAAAUUCAAAUUCAAACGAGGAGCCCUGACACUUUUGUUCUGCAGUGCCGGAGAUGGAACCCGGCACUCUAUCACUAGGCUACAUCCCCAUUCCUUUUUAUUUUCACACAACAUCUCAUCCCUGGUUAAGCUGCUCAGACUGGCCUCAAAACUGCUAUCCUCCUGCCUGAGUAGUUAGGAUUAGUGGCGUGUGCCACUGUGCCAGGCUGACACUAUGUACGUGGUUUACAAAGCACUUUCCAGUUCUGAAUCUAUUCUUCACAACAGUUCCCUCAGGCAGAAGAGGAAUCUAACCUUCAAUUUCAUAGAUGAGUAGCACAAGACAGGGUUCAUGGACAGUAUGAGGAAGCUAUGGUAAGCUAGUCAAACUUCUAGUUAUGACCUCUGACUUCUGCUCUUUUUUUUUUUUUGGUACCGGGGAUCGAACUCAGGUCCUUGAACUUGCAAGGCAGGUGGCAGAACCACUGAGCUAAAUCCCUGGCCCUGCUCUUUUUUGUUUUGUUCUGUUGAGACAGGGUCUUACUAUGCAGUUCAGGAUAGCCUCGAACUCACUAUGAAGCCCUCUCCAGAACUUUCCAAGGUCUGAAGUCUACGUGUUCUUACAUGAUCCAAGAAGGAACUAAGGCCCAGAAGGGGGAGAUGUCUGCCCCAUGGCCACACUGUUGAGUCAGUGACAGAGCUGGGACAGGACUAGAGCCCAGGUCCCCCACUUACCUGCAGCACUGAGAGGUUGGUCUGUCCGGAAAGGCUCAGUUUCUCUUGCUCAGAGGGGUAGGCAUUGUAGCGGUGCAAGUACAGCCAGUCCCGGAGGAUCUUCACUGACUCCUUGGGCAGGUUCCCCCUGCGCUUCCUCUUGCCCGCCAGGGACAGGAGACCUUCAUCCUCACCUAGAUCGCUGUCAGACAUGGUGCCUAGGGGCGAGGCUGGACCUCCAGUGAGCCUGGGACAAGGACACAGGGGGAGGGCAUGUUAUUAUGAUGCACUGCCUCUUACCUAGUUCCUUGUCUCCAAACAGUACUACAGCCUGGGGCACCAGAAAUGGAGGAGUUGCAGUUCAAAGCUUUGGGCUAUACCAUAGCUUGAGCAAGCUAGAAGGGAAAAGUCCAAGCUGUCACCAUUUCAUGGCAUGGGUGGGUGACUACUGAAAUAAACAGCAAGUCAUUCAUAAGUAGGAACAGGACUAUAAAUAAUUUCAGCUACCACUGGUUAAGAUCUGCUGUUUUCUGUGUUUUUUUACUAUGUACAGAUGCUUCACAUCUAUCACCUCAUUUAAUUCUUAUAAACUCUUAUAAGGGAGGAAUUAUUUUAUUGAUGAGGAAACAGAUUAAGAAAGCCACCAAAAGUACUAUUAUGGUUAACACAAAGUUACCAAGCAACCCAGCAACUUCACUGCAAGCUAUCUACUCCAGAGAAAUAUAACCUGGGUGCGCACAAGACUUUGAACAUAAAUGCUUAGCAUUAUUUGUAAUAGCCAAAUGGUAGAAGUAUCCAUCAGCAGAUGGUUAGAGAAGGAAAAUGUAAUGUAUCUAUACAAUGGACUAUUAUUUAGCUAUAAAGAGUUGAGUUUUCAUUCUGCUACAACAUGGAUAGACCUUGAAAUCAUGCUAAGUAAAAGAGACUAGUCAUAAAUGA